GCCAUGGUAGCUCAGCCCGGCACAGCACUUGAUUCGUAAUCAAGGGAUCGAGGGUUCAAAUCCCUCUCAUGGCU
rnacentral:tRNA from 4 species